CGAGAAAAGAAGGAAUCGAACCCC
rnacentral:tRNA from 1 species